UAUUAACAUUCUGAUAUAUUUCCUAGAUCAUAAUUCUUCAACUGGAGGAUACCAAUGGAGCUAUUGGAGAGAAAUGGUACAGGAGAAGGAGGAGAUGAUGGGAGGUAGAAGAGGAAAGUGGAAGUAGACAAAGGGUGACAUCAUUUUUCAUCUGUACAUCACAGCUGGUCCCAAGGUGUUUUCCAUCAAGAUGAUAUGAAAUGACUGUGACAGGAAGAAGACAGGAUUAUAGAAUUUCUGGGCCUUUGAGCAUAAAACUUGGUAAUAAUCAUCCCAGAUCCCACCAUGUUUCUGUGUGUUUCCCUUUUUGUUAUCAGAAACACCGAGAAAAGCUGCUAAACUUUAGUAAGAGUUCUAAGAAGGAUGUUGCAUGCCAGGUAAAAACGUUUUAAAGGUUCUGCUAUAAAUGUUGCCUAACAGCUACAAAAUAUAUCCACUUUGACAACCUAUGCAGCCACAGAACAAGGCAUAUAGUUCAGUAUCUUUCUUUUAUUCUUGCUUAAUAACAGUUUUCUAUCUCAUGUAUGUAAAAAGAAAAAUAUGUAUAACUCAUGACAUGUAUACAUAACUAGUCACAUAUACUUGGAUCUUUAGGUUAUGAUAUAAAUGUCAAGAAACAAAUUGUUUAUUUUUAUAGUACUGUUUGGCAGCAAAGAAUGCCCCUUGUAAUUGAGAUUUUUGUGCUCAACAAAAGUCCUUAGAACAUAGGUGAUCCAUCUUCAGAUGAGCAAUCAAUUAUUUAUAAUUAGCACUUAGACCAGUUAUGGGUCUCUACAUUAACCAUUGUCCAAUGCAGAAAGGAGCGUCUCUGACGAGAGUUGAAAGCAGUAUAAAUCUGUGGGAAUAAACAAAUAUUUAUAAUGCAGUUUUUCAGCAUGACCAGUUAGCAUGUGCAUAUGGACAACACUAACAGGACUCAGGGUUAUAAAUAUCAAAGAUAUAUAAAGAUGGGAGGGAGAUGGGGAGGAGAGAUUUGGGGGGAAUUGGAAGGUGGUAGUGGUGGAUGGCUAUGAUUAAAACAUAUAUAAA